GAUGAACGCUAGCUACAGGCUUAACACAUGCAAGUCGAGGGGAAACGGCAUUAAGUGCUUGCACUUUUUGGACGUCGACCGGCGCACGGGUGAGUAACGCGUAUCCAACCUUCCCAUGACUAAGGGAUAACCUGCCGAAAGGCAGACUAAUACCUUAUGGUCUUCACUGACGGCAUCAGAUGUGAAGUAAAGAUUUAUCGGUUAUGGAUGGGGAUGCGUCUGAUUAGCUUGUUGGCGGGGUAACGGCCCACCAAGGCAACGAUCAGUAGGGGUUCUGAGAGGAAGGUCCCCCACAUUGGAACUGAGACACGGUCCAAACUCCUACGGGAGGCAGCAGUGAGGAAUAUUGGUCAAUGGGCGAGAGCCUGAACCAGCCAAGUAGCGUGCAGGAUGACGGCCCUAUGGGUUGUAAACUGCUUUUGUAUGGGGAUAAAGUCAGUCACGUGUGAUUGUUUGCAGGUACCAUACGAAUAAGGACCGGCUAAUUCCGUGCCAGCAGCCGCGGUAAUACGGAAGGUCCGGGCGUUAUCCGGAUUUAUUGGGUUUAAAGGGAGCGUAGGCUGGAGAUUAAGUGUGUUGUGAAAUGUAGACGCUCAACGUCUGACUUGCACGCAUACUGGUUUCCUUGACUACGCACAACGUUGGCGGAAUUCGUCGUGUAGGGUGAAUGCUUAGAUAAAACGAAGAACUCCGAUUGCGAAGGCAGCUGACGGGAGCGGGAGCUGACGCUGAACUCGAGGUGGGGGUAUCGAGAAGAAGUGAUACACAUUGAGUCAAAGAGGAAAUCCCAAGUGGAAGGGGAGCUGAUCGAUACCCCCCACCUGCAGGGAGGGGGGCGGGGCGGCGCCCUGGGGGGUGUACGGCGGGCUGCAGUGGUAUACCGAGGCGCAUUUAAAAAAG
rnacentral:rRNA from 1 species